rnacentral:tRNA from 1 species
CAGGGAUUAGCUCAGCCUGGUAGAGCGCUGCAUUCGGGUUGCAGAGGCCGGAGGUUCGAAUCCUCUAUCCCUGACCA